CUCGUCCCCAGCCCUAUUUUGUAUUUUAUAUGUGCUGUAUACCUUCAGUGGAUACAGGGUCUCACUGAGUUGCUUAGUGCCUCGCAGUUGUUGAGGCUGGCUUUGAACUUGUGAUCCUCCUGUCUCAGCUUCCCAAGCCGCUGGGAUUAUAGGUGUGUGCCACUGUACCUGUCUAAAAUCUGUGUAUUUUGAAAGAAAUUUCAAACGUAAAGGAAGUUUCAGAAUAAUAUAAUGAAUUUCUAUACACACACACACACACAUAUAUAUGUAUAAAUAUACAUUUAUUUAUUUUUGAGACAGGGUCUUGCUGAAUUUACUUGGGGCCUUGCCAAGCAACUGAGACUGGCCUAGAACUUGGGAUCUUCCUGCCUUAGCCUCUUAAGUUGCUGGGGUUACAAGCAUGCAUAACCACACUUGGUGAAUUCCCAUAUUCUUUUAACUUAGAUUAAUUGGUAACUGAAAUUUUGUCACAUUUGCAUUAUCUUUCCCUGUAAAAAAAAAAAUUAAAUUUAUUUUUGGCUGAGCUGUUUGAGAAACAUCAUGAUCCUUAUCAAAAUAUUCCACAGUAUUACCCAAGAACAAGCAUUCUCUUAGAUAACUAAUUUAGGCAAUUUAACAUUUAUAACAUACUGUUACCAAAUAAACAGUUCAUAUUUAAAUUUUUCUAAUUGUGCCAAAAGUGUCCUCUUUUUCAAUCUAGAAUUACAUAUUGUAUUUAAUUAACAUGUCUUUUAGUCUUUUUCUUUUUUGUUUCUUUUGCUGUGCCAGGGAUCAAACCAAGGGCAUCGUGCAUGAUAGGCAAGCUCUCUACCUC
rnacentral:lncRNA from 1 species